UACGGGGGGUGCGAGCGUUGUCCGGAAUCACUGGGCGUAAAGGGCGCGUAGGUGGUUUGAUAAGGGUGUGGUGAAAGUCCGGGGCUCAACCCCGGAUCUGCCGUGCCGACUGUCAAACUCGAGGGCUGUAGAGGCAGACGGAAUUCCGGGUGUAGCGGUGAAAUGCGCAGAUAUCGGGAGGAACACCGGUGGCGAAGGCGGUUCUCUGGGCCUGUACUGACGCUGAGGAGCGAAAGCGUGGGGAGCGAACAGG
rnacentral:rRNA from 1 species